AGUGAACGCUGGCGGUAGGCCUAACACAUGCAAGUCGAACGGCAGCACAGUAAGAGCUUGCUCUUACGGGUGGCGAGUGGUGGACGGGUGAGGAAUACAUCGGAAUCUACUUUUUCGUGGGGGAUAACGUAGGGAAACUUACGCCAAUACCGCUUACGACCUACGGGUGAAAGCAGGGGAUCUUGGGACCUUGCGCGAUUGAAUGAGCCGAUGUCGGAUUAGCUAGUUGGCGGGGUAAAGGCCCACCAAGGCGACGAUCCGUAGCUGGUCUGAGAGGAUGAUCAGCCACACUGGAACUGAGACACGGUCCAGACUCCUACGGGAGGCAGCAGUGGGGAAUAUUGGACAAUGGGCGCAAGCCUGAUCCAGCCAUACCGCGUGGGUGAAGAAGGCCUUCGGGUUGUAAAGCCCUUUUGUUGGGAAAGAAAAGCAGCAGGUUAAUACCCCGCUGUUCUGACGGUACCCAAAGAAUAAGCACCGGCUAACUUCGUG
rnacentral:rRNA from 1 species